rnacentral:tRNA from 1 species
GAGGGUCUAGCUCAGUGGUAGAGCAUAUGCUUAGCAUGCAUGAGGUCCUGGGCUCAAUCCCCAGUCCCUCC